AGGGGGCCCGAGCGUUAAUCGGAAUCACUGGGCUUAAAGGGUGCGUAGGCGGAUCAGGAAGUGUUUCGUGAAAACCCCCGGCUCAACCGGGGAACUGCGGAGCAAACUCCUGAUCUUGAGGGAAGUAUGGGCGGACAGAACUAUCGGUGGAGCGGUGAAAUGCGUAGAUAUCGAUAGGAAUGCCGAUGGCGAAGGCGGUCCGCUGGGCUUCUCCUGACGCUCAGGCACGAAGCGUGGGGAGCAAACAGGAUUAGAUACCCUGGUAGUCCACGCCGUAAACGAUGCGCACUAGACCGGUGCGGCUCUGACGCCGUAUCGGUCGCAGUAAAAACGCUAAGUGCGCCGCCUGGGGAGUACGGUCGCAAGGCUG
rnacentral:rRNA from 1 species